GAUGAACGCUGGCGGCGUGCCUAAUACAUGCAAGUCGAGCGAACAGACGAGGAGCUUGCUCCUCUGACGUUAGCGGCGGACGGGUGAGUAACACGUGGAUAACCUACCUAUAAGACUGGGAUAACUUCGGGAAACCGGAGCUAAUACCGGAUAAUAUAUUGAACCGCAUGGUUCAAUAGUGAAAGACGGUUUUGCUGUCACUUAUAGAUGGAUCCGCGCCGCAUUAGCUAGUUGGUAAGGUAACGGCUUACCAAGGCAACGAUGCGUAGCCGACCUGAGAGGAUGAUCGGCCACACUGGAACUGAGACACGGUCCAGACUCCUACGGGAGGCAGCAGUAGGGAAUAUUCCGCAAUGGGCGAAAGCCUGACGGAGCAACGCCGCGUGAGUGAUGAAGGUCUUCGGAUCGUAAAGCUCUGUUAUUAGGGAAGAACAAAUGUGUAAGUAACUAUGCACGUCUUGACGGUACCCAAUCAGAAAGCCACGGCUAACUACGUG
rnacentral:rRNA from 1 species